rnacentral:rRNA from 1 species
GGGCGACCCGGCCACACUGGGACUGAGACACGGCCCAGACUCCUACCGGGAGGCAGCAGUGGGGAAUAUUGCACAAUGGGCGAAAGCCUGAUGCAGCGACGCCGCGUGAGGGAUGACGGCCUUCGGGUUGUAAACCUCUUUCAGCAGGGGAAGAAGCGAAAGUGACGGUACCUGCAGAAGAAGCGCCGGCUAAACUACGUGCCAGCAGCCGCGGUAAUACGUAGGGCGCGAGCGUUGUCCGGAAUUAUUGGGGCGUAAAGAGCUCGUAGGCGGUCUGUCGCGUCGGAUGUGAAAAGCCCGGGGGCUUAACCCCGGGUCUGCAUUCGAUACGGGCAGACUAGAGUGUGGUAGGGGAGAUCGGAAUUCCUGGUGUAGCGGUGAAAAUGCGCAGAUAUCAGGACAAACACCGGUGGCGAAGGCGGAUCUCUGGGCCAUUACUGACGCUGAGGAGCGAAAGCGUGGGGAGCGAACAGGAUUAGAUACCCUGGUAGUCCACGCCGUAAACGGUGGGAACUAGGUGUUGGCGACAUUCCACGUCGUCGGUGCCGCAGCUAACGCAUUAAGUUCCCCGCCUGGGGAGUACGGCCGCAAGGCUAAAACUCAAAGGAAUUGACGGGGGCCCGCACAAGCAGCGGAGCAUGUGGCUUAAUUCGACGCAACGCGAAGAACCUUACCAAGGCUUGACAUACACCGGAAAACCCUGGAGACAGGGUCCCCCUUGUGGUCGGUGUACAGGUGGUGCAUGGCUGUCGUCAGCUCGUGUCGUGAGAUGUUGGGUUAAGUCCCGCAACGAGCGCAACCCUUGUUCUGUGUUGCCAGCAUGCCCUUCGGGGUGAUGGGGACUCACAGGAGACUGCCGGGGUCAACUCGGAGGAAGGUGGGGACGACGUCAAGUCAUCAUGCCCCUUAUGUCUUGGGCUGCACACGUGCUACAAAUGGCAGGUACAAUGAGCUGCGAAGCCGUGAGGGCG